rnacentral:tRNA from 1 species
CGUUAAGUUACUUAAAGCAAGUUAUGAUCUCUUAAAUCAUUAUAUAGUAAAGUUGCGUUUACUCUUAAUGG